GAUGAACGCUGGCGGCGUGCCUAAUACAUGCAAGUCGAGCGAACGGACGAGAAGCUUGCUUCUCUGAUGUUAGCGGCGGACGGGUGAGUAACACGAGGAUAACCUACCUAUAAGACUGGGAUAACUUCGGGAAACCGGAGCUAAUACCGGAUAAUAUUUUGAACCGCAUGGUUCAAAAGUGAAAGACGGUCUUGCUGUCACUUAUAGAUGGAUCCGCGCUGCAUUAGCUAGUUGGUAAGGUAACGGCUUACCAAGGCAACGAUGCAUAGCCGACCUGAGAGGGUGGUAGGCCACACUGGAACUGAGACACGGUCCCGACUCCUAAGGGAGGCAGCAGUAGGGAAUCUUCCGCAAAGGGCGAAAGCCUGACGGAGCAACGCCGCGUGAGUGAUGAAGGUCUUCGGAUCGUAAAACUCUGUUAUUAGGGAAGAACAUAUGUGUAAGUAACUGUGCACAUCUUGACGGUACCUAAUCAGAAAGCCACGGCUAACUACGUG
rnacentral:rRNA from 1 species